rnacentral:rRNA from 1 species
ACCUACGGGGGGCAGCAGUAAGGGAUAUUGGUCAAUGGGGGAAACCCUGAACCAGCAACGCCGCGUGAGGGAAGACGGUUUUCGGAUUGUAAACCUCUGUCCUCUGUGAAGAUGAUGACGGUAGCAGAGGAGGAAGCUCCGGCUAACUACGUGCCAGCAGCCGCGGUAAUACGUAGGAUGCGAGCGUUAUCCGGAUUUAUUGGGUUUAAAGGGUGCGUAGGCGGAUUUUUAAGUCAGCGGUAAAAUGUCCGGGCUCAACCCG